GUGAAUCAUCAAAUCUUUGAACGCAAAUUGCACUCACUUCUGAGAGGAUGCCUAUUUGAGUGUCAGCCUAAAAAAAAUCGACAUAGUUGCUGUUACGCGGUAACAUUCGUCGGAAGUGAGGUCAUCUUAAACCUUUGGGUUUAAGCGGCUUAAAAUUUUGUUUACGAUUCCAAGGACGUGUCUAAUGUUUUAUUUUUUUAUACUGUUAAUGUAGCAAUCUUUAUUAUACAAUUCAGUUUCAACGGAGC
rnacentral:misc_RNA from 1 species